CCUACGGGAGACAGCAGUGAGGAAUAUUGGUCAAUGGACGAGAGUCUGAACCAGCCAAGUAGCGUGAAGGAUGACUGCCCUAUGGGUUGUAAACUUCUUUUAUAUGGGAAUAAAAUGUUCCACGUGUGGGAUUUUGUAUGUACCAUAUGAAUAAGGAUCGGCUAACUCCGUGCCAGCAGCCGCGGUAAUACGGAGGGUCCGAGCGUUAUCCGGAUUUAUUGGGUUUAAAGGGAGCGUAGGUGGAUUGGUAAGUCAGGUGUGAAAGUUUGCGGCUCAACCGUAAAAUUGCAGUUGAAACUGGCAGUCUGGAGUGCAGUAGAGGUGGGCGGAAUUCGUGGUGUAGCGGUGAAAUGCUUAGAUAUCACGAAGAACUCCGAUUGCGAAGGCAGCUCACUGGACUGCAACUGACACUGAGGCUCGAAAGUGUGGGUAUCAAACAGGAUUAGAUACCCUUGUAGUC
rnacentral:rRNA from 1 species